UAGGUGUGUCUGAGGUAGGUGAGCUAGCUGUGUCUAAGCUAGUUGAGCUAGGUGUGUCUGAGUUAGGUGUGUCUGAGCUAGGUGUGUCUGAGUUAGGUAUGUCUGAGCUAGGUGAGCUAGGUGUGUCUGAGCUAGGUGAGCUAGGUGUGUCUUAGCUAGGUGAGCUAGGUGUGUCUGUGUUACGUGAGCUAGGUGUGUCUGAGCUAGGUGAGCUAGGUGAGCUAGGUGUGUCUUAGCUAGGUGAGCUAGGUGUGUCUUAGCUAGGUGAGCUAGGUGUGUCUUAGCAAGGUGAGCUAGGUGUGUCUAAGCUAGGUGAGCUAGGGGUGUCUGAG
rnacentral:lncRNA from 1 species